AGAGUUUGAUCAUGGCUCAGGAUGAAUGCUAGCGGCGUGGAUAAGGCAUCCAAGUCGAGUGGGUUUAGACCCACGGCAGACGAGGUAGUAAUACACAGGUACUCACCGAAAAGUUGGGGAUAUUCCAUCGAAAGAUGGCGCAAUACCCAAUAGUCCCCAAGGGGUAAAGGAGCAAUCCGCUUUUUGAGAGGCCUGUGGCGCAUCAGGUAGUUGGUAGGGUAAUGGCCUACCAAGCCGACGACGCGUAGGGGAGCUGAGAGGCUGACCCCCACCGAUGGAACUGAGACACGGUCCAUACACCUACGGGUGGCUGCAGUCAAGAACAUUUGGCAAUGGGCGCAAGCCUGACCAUGCGACGCCGCGUGGUUGAUGAAGUCCUUCGGGACGUAAAGACCUUUUAUGGGGGAAGAAGUAAUUGACAUUACCCCAAGAAUAAGGGGCUCCUAACUUUGUGCCAGCAGGAGCGGUAAUACAGAGGCCCCGAGCAUUAUCCGGAAUCACUGGGCGUAAAGGGUGUGUAGGUGGCGCUAUUAGUCCUUCGUAAAAGCCCGCGGGCUCAACCCGUGGAAUGCGGAGGAAACGGUAGUGCUUGAGGGCGCGAGAGGUAAAGGGAACUCAUGGUGUAGGGGUGAAAUCCGUUGAUAUCAUGGGGAACACCAAAUGCGAAGGCACUUUACUGGCGCGUUUCUGACACUGAAACACGAAAGCGUGGGUAGCGAACGGGAUUAGAUACCCCGGUAGUCCACGCCCUAAACGAUGACAACUGGCUUUAAGGAGUAUCGACCCUCUUUGAGGCGAAGCUAGCGCGUUAAGUUGUCCGCCUGGGUAGUACGAUCGCAAGAUUAAAACUCAAAGGAAUAGACGGGGACUUGCACAAGCGGUGGAUGAUGCGGCUCAAUUCGAUGACAAACGAAGAACCUCACCAGGGUUUGAAACCCAACUGACCGCCUUAGGAAACUUUGGCUUUCGCAAGACAGUUGGGCAGGUGAUGCAUGGUCGUCGUCAGUUCGUGGCUUGAGUUGUUCCCUUCAGUGGGGUAACGAACGCAACCCUCGUUGCCUGUUUUAUAUGUCAGGCGAGACUGCCCCCUCACGGGGGAGGAAGGUGAGGAUGACGCCAGAUCAGCAUGUCCCUCUGAUAUCCUGGGCUGCACGCAUCAUACAAUGGUCAAGACAACGGGUCGCGACGGGGUAACCCUGAGCUAAUCCUUAUAAACUUGGCCCCAGUUCGGAUUGAGGUCUGCAACUCGACCUCAUGAAGCCGGAAUCGCUAGUAAUCGCGGGUCAGCUAUACCGCGGUGAAUACGUUCUCAAGUCUUGUACUCACCGCCCGUUAACUCAAGGGAGCCGGGAGUACCUGAAGCAUCUAGCAAUAGGUGUCACGGUAAAUUCGGUGACAGGGAGUAAGUCGUAACAAGGUAACC
rnacentral:rRNA from 1 species